rnacentral:sRNA from 1 species
GCUGGGCUUGGUGGUGCAUGUCUGUAGUCUCAGCAACUGGGAAACUAAGGUAGGAGAAUUACUUGAGUUUAUGAGUUUGAGGCCAACCUGGACAACAUAGCAAAACCCUGUCUCAA